AGCGAAUAGAUACCCAGGUAGUCCACGCCGUAAACGUUGGGCGCUAGGUGUGGGGGCCAUUCCACGGUCUCCGUGCCGCAGCUAAACGCAUUAAGCGCCCCGCCUGGGGAGUACGGCCGCAAGGCUAAAACUCAAAGGAAUUGACGGGGGCCCGCACAAGCGGCGGAGCAUGUUGCUUAAUUCGAUGCAACGCGAAGAACCUUACCUAGGCUUGACAUGCACGGAAAUCUCGCAGAGAUGCGGGGUGCCUUUGGCGUCGUGCACAGGUGGUGCAUGGUUGUCGUCAGCUCGUGUCGUGAGAUGUUGGGUUAAGUCCCGCAACGAGCGCAACCCUCGUUCCAUGUUGCCAGCACGUAAUGGUGGGGACUCAUGGGAGACUGCCGGGGUCAACUCGGAGGAAGGUGGGGAUGACGUCAAAUCAUCAUGCCCCUUAUGUCUAGGGCUGCAAACAUGCUACAAUGGCCGGUACAAAGGGCUGCGAUACCGUGAGGUGGAGCGAAUCCCAAAAACG
rnacentral:rRNA from 1 species